rnacentral:rRNA from 1 species
GUUAAGCGACUAAGCGUACACGGUGGAUGCCCUGGCAGUCAGAGGCGAUGAAGGGCGUGCUAAUCUGCGAUAAGCGCCGGUAAGGUGAUAUGAACCGUUAUAACCGGCGAUACCCGAAUGGGGAAACCCAGUGUGAUUCGUCACACUAUCAUUAACUGAAUCCAUAGGUUAAUGAGGCGAACCGGGGGAACUGAAACAUCUAAGUACCCCGAGGAAAAGAAAUCAACCGAGAUUCCCCCAGUAGCGGCGAGCGAACGGGGAGGAGCCCAGAGCCUGAAUCAGCAUGUGUGUUAGUGGAAGCGUCUGGAAAGGCGCGCGAUACAGGGUGACAGCCCCGUACACAAAAGCGCAUAUGCUGUGAGCUCGAUGAGUAGGGCGGGACACGUGGUAUCCUGUCUGAAUAUGGGGGGACCAUCCUCCAAGGCUAAAUACUCCUGACUGACCGAUAGUGAACCAGUACCGUGAGGGAAAGGCGAAAAGAACCCCGGCGAGGGGAGUGAAAAAGAACCUGAAACCGUGUACGUACAAGCAGUGGGAGCACCCUUUUGGGUGUGACUGCGUACCUUUUGUAUAAUGGGUCAGCGACUUAUAUUCUGUAGCAAGGUUAACCG